GACAGAGGGUGCAAACGUUGUUCGGAAUUACUGGGCGUAAAGCGCGAGUAGGCGGUUGUGCAAGUCGGAUGUGAAAGCCCUGGGCUCAACCCAGGAAGUGCAUUCGAAACUGCAGAGCUGGAGUUCCGGAGAGGAAAGCGGAAUUCUCGGUGUAGAGGUGAAAUUCGUAGAUAUCGAGAGGAACACCGGUGGCGAAGGCGGCUUUCUGGACGGUGACUGACGCUGAGACGCGAAAGCGUGGGGAGCAAACAGG
rnacentral:rRNA from 1 species